AACGAACGCUGGCGGCGUGGAUAAGACAUGCAAGUCGAACGGGACUUACUUUGUAACAAUACAAGGCAAGUUCAGUGGCGUAAGGGUGCGUAACACGUGGGGAAUCUGCCGAGAAGUGGGGGAUAGCUCGCCGAAAGGCGAAUUAAUACCGCAUGUGACCAGGAAGGACAUCCUUCCGACGUCAAAGCCGGGGCAACCUGGCGCUUCUUGAUGACCCCGCGGCCUAUCAGCUUGNGGUGAGGUAACGGCUCACCAAGGCUAUGACGGGUAGCUGGUCUGAGAGGACGACCAGUCACACUGGAACUGAGACACGGUCCAGACACCUACGGGUGGCAGCAGUCGAGAAUUUUUCUCAAUGGGGGCAACCCUGAAGGAGCGACGCCGCGUGGAGGAUGAAGGUCUUCGGAUUGUAAACUCCUGUCAUUUGGGAACAAUUGUCACCGGUUAACUGCCGGGGCUUGAUAGUGCCAGAAGAGGAAGAGACGGCUAACUCUGUGCCAGCCGCC
rnacentral:rRNA from 1 species